rnacentral:rRNA from 1 species
UUUUAUUGUUUAUACAGAUUUUAUAAUUUUUUAAUUUCUUUAUUAAUAUGUUAUAUUAAAUUAAAAUUUGUAAGUAAUUAUGAUUAAAUUAGUAUAAAUUGUUGUAAAAUAAAUUAUAAUUUUAAGAUUAAAUUAAGGAAUUCGGCAAAUCUAUUUUCUGCCUGUUUAUUAAAAACAUGUCUUUUUGUAAUUAUUUAAAGUCGGGCCUGCCCUAUGAUUAUUUAAAUGGCCGCGGUAUUUUGACCGUGCAAAGGUAGCAUAAUAAUUAGUUUCUUAAUUAGAAGCUUGUAUGAAGGGUUUGACAAGAAAAUUUCUGUCUCAAUUUAAAUAUUAGAAUUUAACUUUUAAGUUAAAAGGCUUAAAUUUUUUUAAAAGACGAGAAGACCCUAUAGAAUUUUACUUUUAAUUUAUUUAAAAUUAUAUGGUUUAUUUAUUUUUAUUUGAAUUAUUUGUUUUGUUGGGGUGAUGGAAAAACUAAAAUAACUUUUUCUUAUUUUAUUCAUUAAUUUAUGA